rnacentral:rRNA from 1 species
GGAGGGAGCGAGCGUUGUUCGGAAUUACUGGGCGUAAAGCGUAUGUAGGCGGCUUCGUAAGUCGGGUGUGAAAUCCCGGGGCUUAACCCCGGAACUGCAUUCGAGACUGCAAGGCUUGAGUAUCGGAGAGGUUGGCGGAAUUCCCAGUGUAGCAGUGAAAUGCGCAGAUAUUGGGAGGAACACCGAUGGCGUAAGCAGCCAACUGGACGAUUACUGACGCUGAGAUACGAAAGUAUGGGGAGCAAACAGGAUUAGAUACCCUGGUAGUCCAUACCAUAAACGAUGUGUGCUAGCUGCUGGGAUCCUUAGGGUCUCGGUGGCGCAGCUAACGCUUUAAGCACACCGCCUGGGGAGUACGGUCGCAAGAUUA